rnacentral:rRNA from 1 species
GCUCCUGGAUUAGUGGCGAACGGGUGAGUAACACGUGAGUAACCUGCCCUUAACUCUGGGAUAAGCCUGGGAAACUGGGUCUAAUACCGGAUAUGACUCCUCAUCGCAUGGUGGGGGGUGGAAAGCUUUWUUGUGGUUUUGGAUGGACUCGCGGCCUAUCAGCUUGUUGGUGAGGUAAUGGCUUACCAAGGCGACGACGGGUAGCCGGCCUGAGAGGGUGACCGGCCACACUGGGACUGAGACACGGCCCAGACUCCUACGGGAGGCAGCAGUGGGGAAUAUUGCACAAUGGGCGCAAGCCUGAUGCAGCGACGCCGCGUGAGGGAUGACGGCCUUCGGGUUGUAAACCUCUUUCAGUAGGGAAGAAGCGAAAGUGACGGUACCUGCAGAAGAAGCGCCGGCUAACUACGUGCCAGCAGCCGCGGUAAUACGUAGGGCGCAAGCGUUAUCCGGAAUUAUUGGGCGUAAAGAGCUCGUAGGCGGUUUGUCGCGUCUGCCGUGAAAGUCCGGGGCUCAACUCCGGAUCUGCGGUGGGUACGGGCAGACUAGAGUGAUGUAGGGGAGACUGGAAUUCCUGGUGUAGCGGUGAAAUGCGCAGAUAUCAGGAGGAACACCGAUGGCGAAGGCAGGUCUCUGGGCAUUAACUGACGCUGAGGAGCGAAAGCAUGGGGAGCGAACAGGAUUAGAUACCCUGGUAGUCCAUGCCGUAAACGUUGGGCACUAGGUGUGGGGGACAUUCCACGUUUUCCGCGCCGUAGCUA